rnacentral:lncRNA from 1 species
AAAAAAAAAAAAGAAAGAAAGAAAGAAAGAAAGAAGGAAAAAAAAUUUAUGUAUUUAUUUUAAGGGUAGAGAUAUUUUCCCAGCAUGUAUCUAUGUGUACCACAUGCAUGCCUGAUGCCUGCUGAGGUCAGAAGGGGCUGGUGGAUCCUCUGGAACCAGAGUUAAGAUGGUGGUAAGCAUGUGGGUGCUGGGAAUCAAACCCAAGAGCAAUGACUGCUCUAAACGGCUGAGCCGCCUUUGAGCCUUUGGAGAAUGUCCUUACAUUCAAGUAAGAUGGUUUUCUUAAUAACUGCUCAUGGAUUUUUUUUUACAUGUCUUCAUAAGAACAUUCUAAUUGUGGCACACACCUUUAAUCCCAGCACUCGUGAAACAGAGGCAGGUGGAUGUCUGAGUUCAAGGACAGCCUGGUCUACAGAGUGAGUUCCAGGACAGCCAGGGCUACACAGAGAAACUCUCUCUCUCAAAAAAAAAAAAAAAAGCAAAACAACAACAACAACAAAAACAACUAAAAAAUGUUAUAAUUGAUAUAAAAACGUUUGUAAAUAUUAAGCAGAACAAAGAAUGAAACGGUGCCACUGGCAAGAACACACACAGUGCUACGUAGGGAGCACCAUACCAAGUGAAAGAGACUUCUCUCAGAAAGACUUUGCUUACUCUAAAGGGAAAGAGGACGAUGCAAGGAAGGAGAGAGGCCUCCAGACACCCAAGUCUCAAAGCAGAUGUUACAUAGAUACCUGUUGUUGCCUCAUACUGCACGUGAUGUUCAGGAGAUGUUCAAAGUCUGUAGUGACUGGACACAUUAACCUUUAGCCAACUUGCAAAUGUUUUAAAACAGUUUAAAGGAUGCUGCCAAGCAACAGACUGGCUUGACAGACUGAAAAAAAAAAUUUAGAAAGAAAAAUAACUUCUGUCUUUAAACACGUUCUUUUUCUUGUUCCUAUUCUUAGGUAUAAUCUGUUGCUGUUCCUAUGAGGGAAAAGUAGAUCAGCACAGUAGAGAAGUGAGAAGAGCACGGAGAACACCGAGGUCCCACUAGUUCCAGGUGGAGGACUCUAACCGUUCCUGCCUGUAGGUUCCUGUCUGGAGUUCCUGCCCUUGCCUCAAAUGAUGGACUUAAAGCUGUAAGCUGAAGUGAGUACUUUAUCACAGCAAUGGAAAGCAACCCAGAGCAGUAUCUCAGUUACAGUACUGGGGUCACAGAUGAGUUGACGGUUUAACGUCCCCUCUGUUUUAUGAGAUGUUAUGGGGAGCACUGGGAAUAGCUCAUCUUUACAGCUCUGGUAGAACUCAGCACCAACUCUCUACAGUCCUGGACACUUUCUACUUGGGAGAUUCAGUCUUGUUGCCUGUUGUAGAUCUGUUUAAGUUGUUUAUAACCACAGGUUUCAUAUUGGUGGGUGAUACAUGUGCAGAAAUGUUGCCAUUUCAUCUACAUUUUCUAAUUUAUGGGACUAUGGUUCUCAAAGCAUUCCUUGAUUAUCCCCUAUAUAUCAAUAAUAUUUAUUGUUCUGCCUGUCCUUUUCAUCAUGAAUUUUGUUAGUUGCGAUUCUCUCUGUUUGCUAGUUUGUUCAGGAUUUGUUAAUCACGUUUAUCUUUUCAAAGAACCAUUGUUUGUUUCACUGAAUUCAUUUUAUUGCUCUUUCAGUCUCCAUGUCAUUGAUUUCUACCUUGAUUUUUUUUUUUUUCUUAUUUCUUUGCAUAGCUUGGGUUUUUCUUUAGUAGUUUGGGAUUUGACUUUUUGUUGUGUUUCUAAGACCAGGAAGUUUGUUAGUUGGUUAGAAAUGUCUGAUCUUGAAGAAAAUAUGUAAUAAAAAAAAGAAAAAAAAAAGAAAUGUCUGAUCUGUUGAUGUUGGGCCUCGAGCCUCUGCACACCCCUGUUAGGUCUCAUCCCAAAAGUUGGGGUAAGUGGUUUUCAUUUUUAUUCCAUUCUAGAGAGUCUAUCAUUUCUUUCAUUAUCUUUUCAGUGACUCGGCAACCAUUUCAGAAUAUAUCCAUGUGUUUGUAGACUUUCUCUUGCUGUUCUAGUUUUCUUCCAUUCCUGAUGAUAUAUAGGAAAUCAUUUCAAUUCUGAUUUAUGUUUUCAGACUUGCACAGACAGUACUCUAGUUUUUUUUAAAAAAGUUUUUUUUUAUCUUAUGUAUAUGAGUACACUGUAGUUGUCUCCAGACACACCAGAAAAGGGCAUCAGAUCCCAUUACAAAUGGUUGUGAGCCACCAUGUGGUUGCUGGGAAUUGAACUCAGGACCUCUGAAAGAGCAGUCAGUACUCUUAACAUCUCUCCAGCCCCUCUCCCCCCAGUACUCUAGUUAGUAUCCAUCUGAUGCCCUUUUACAGUACAGUAAACAAAUGAUUUUUUUCCUAUUCUUCUCUAAAGAAUGAAUUUGUUCCCUGUCUCUCAUUCCUUCCCUGCUACUGUGGUAGCCACCCAGUUCUCUAUAAGCAGUACUGUUAAUGAGAGACUGAAAAAUGAGAAAGGGUCCUCGUGAGGGAAUUGUCCAGAGCUUAGUUCAAAACUCCCAAUUUAGCUAGGCAAGGAGGUGCACACCUCAGCACUUAGGAGGCUCAGUAAAAGGAUUAGGAGUUCAAAGUCAGCCUUAGGUAUGUGAGAUCCUAUCUCAAAUAGCAAGCACAGACUUUCCCUAUGGCCCAGACUGCAGUCUCUUCUGUAGAUAGUUCUGUGGUCUGCUGAGUGGAAUGUUUGUCCCAAAGCCUUUGGGUGCAGCAUUCUAUUGACGUCUGUUAAACCCAUUUGCUUUAUCAAGCACUUUAUGUUUCAAGUUUUUUUCUCAACGUUUGUCUGGGAAAUUGAUCUUUUGAUGAAUCAGUUACUAAAGCCACUCACUAUUAUUUUAUCUAGACAUAUCUGUCUCUUUGUGUCCAGGAGUUAAGUAUACCAAUAUUUGAUUCAUAUACAUUUAUCAUUGUUAUAUGCUAUUGAUGGAUUCUUUCCUUUAUUGAAUGUACUGGCCUUUAUCCUUCAACUUCAUUUUGCUUGAAGUCAACUUUGUCAAGUAUGAUAAUGGCUACUCUUGUCUACUUCCUGUACCUGUUUACUUGAUAUAUAGGUUUUCAUUCUUUGAAUUUUCUGUCUCAGACAAAAUCAUCUGGUUUUUUCAUAUGUGGAUCCUAAUUCUUAGUGUUUGUAUUAUGUAAAUAAGCACAAAAGUUCUGCUAAAUCUAUCCUUCUUGUUUGGUAACUUUUCAUUCACUAAUUUUAUUUCUUUAUAUUGUGACUGUGUCUUAAGAUUAUUUUCUUCAUUGAUCUUGCAGAUUUCCAACUUUGGUGUUUUUACUUCAAGUUUUCUACUCCAUUUUGAAAUUUAAAAUUAAGCUUUAAGUUUCUGGUCCUCUUCUCCUUUGCUCUGCCAUUCUAUGCCCUAUACCUGAUUCAGCUUCUGACCAUGUCUUCUCAUAUGACUUUCAGAAUCAAGCGAUUCCUGACCAAGAAACAAAAGUAAAAUUGUCCUAUCCUACAGUGGAUUAAAAAAAAAAAAAACUGGUAACAAAUUCAGGUCCAGCUCCAAGAGAAGGCAGUGGGGAGAAGGAAACUGAGUCUGAAAGGGUUCACACAAUGGCAAGACUGAGGCUUUAAACUGCAUCAUGGUCAUCAGUCAGUCCUCCCAGAUGGAAUUCAACAUUCUUAACCUGGAGACUUGCUCAUAUCUAAAUUGGGGGUGUGGUUUGUCCAGUAAUUAAAUGUAGAACCUUAAGUUUCUAAAUUUUUUUUAUGCUGUCCAACUCUAUACUUGAAUACUCUCAUUGCUUUUCAAUUAAUGUGUCCUGUAUUUUUUCUUUACCAUCAAAGUCACCAUCCGAGAGCUCCGUUUCAAGUUGUUAUGUCCUUCUAAAUGGACACAAGUUCUAUUGUUAGAGCUAUCUGUGAGAAAUAGCAUUGAGGUAUCAUCCUUUCUGAUACUGAGAACUCCUAAACAAGGCAUGCCAAGAUAGCGGUGUGCUCUGCUCUAGUACUUCUCAUCCCGUCAGGUGAGACAGUGUUAGUGAGGUUCAUCUGCCAUCCCUAGACUGCAAGCAGCAAGCAGGGUGAGUGUUCUCCCUGUGUGAAUGUCCAGGAUCAGUUCAGUUCAGCCAACCACUCCUGUUCCUGGCAAUCACAUGAUGCCACUCCAGGCUCCACCAAGACUCAGAUAUUCUCAGAACCGACGUCUCAUGCCUACAGUAGGACAUGUCAAGAGUUCAGAACAGUACGUGGCAUAGAAGUGGUCAGUAAGGCCAUCACCAUCAUUAAGCUCAAUGCACUAUUCCAGUUUUCUUAAUAGUCAUCUUCCUCUAAGAGCCAGAGAGAAUACAGAACAAUCAGAAUAUGAUAGUCAAACUGGCCCUUUCAGAGUAUUUUGUAUUAAUCACUGUUUUAAAAAGUUAGUCUGUCUCUUCAGCUGUAGCUCGUCCUCCAAUGCCACAUCCAUUAAACAGGACUUUUAAAAAUGGCACAUUUGUGUUCUGUGUCCCAUGAAAAGGAAUCGGGGCAACUGCAGGCCUCAGAAAACAGAAACAUAGAGCCUAUCCUAGUGCGUCCUGUUCUUCUGGUACCUCGUGACACAAUCGGUCAGCUUUUAGUACAGUGCGGUCAACAAACCCAUAUGCACACAGCACUGUCCUCCCUCAAGCACACGCCUCGGGCACAAUCCCCAUCAUGGAGGACGGACAGGUCCAUGCACAGGGCACUGUCCUGCCUCAAGCACAUACCUUGGACACAGGGUGGAUGGACAGGUCCAUGCACAGGGUACUGUCCUGUCUCAAGCACACGCCUUGGACACAGGGUGGAUGGACAGGUCCAUGCACAGGGCACUGUCCUGCCUCAAGCACAUGCCUUGGACACAGGGUGGAGGACAGGUCCGUGUACAGGGGGGUACUGUCCUGCCUCAAGCACAUGCCUUGGACACAGGGUGGACGGACAGGUCCGUGCACAGACACUGUCCACCUUCAAACACACGCCUUGGCGGCAUUCUCUCUUGUGUUUAAGACUUUUUCUGAAAUCUGGAAGUUAGCGUUAGGGUAUGUUUAAAGAUGUUUACACCUUUGAAGAUAACAGACAACCAACGAGGAAACAGACUCACAGAGUGAGCAGCCCAGGCCUCCUGUCCAUGGGCAAUUCUACACAGCCCUAGAAGAGGCACUGUUGAGAGUCCGGCUCAUUCACAGUGGCAACCAACUCAGCUAACCUCCACACACCCCUUUCCCCAUUUCCUCCUUCCAGUUUCUCAAUUGUGAUCUUUUUUGAUUACCUUAAAAUAAAAUUUCUGCCCACAACUCGUUUCUGAAUCACUUUAGACAGUGAU